GCCACAUACAAAAGAAAAGAGAUGAAGAAAUAAGAGAAAUGUUCUCCAAGGUUGAAGAGAGGCACUAUUCAGUUUCCUGGUUAACAGGUGUUGGAAAUCAAACUUGAAGGUUGAAAUUCAUGGCCGGGAGUGCGUACUUCAGACAGUUUAACCCAUCUGUAGACUCUUAAUUCUGAUCUAUCUUAUGUUUUCCUUAUGCUGUGGAGGAAUCCCAGACAAAAUUUGGAUCUGAUUGUGUGUUUAUUAGCAUGCACUGAAGUGAACUGUGUCAGGACUCUUGCUAACCCUUGUCUCUGGAGGCAAAACCUGAUGUCCACAGCACGCUACCUCAUUCCUUAUGGCUCACAAAUGGUUUACACCAACCCAGCUCCUCUGGCCUUGCUGACUUCUGCUGACGUUCUCUGUGGUUUCCUUGGGAAAACAACCUGGAGCAAAAAGGCAAAAUCUGAGCCUGGAACAACCAAGGGGCAUCCUGAAGAUGAGGAGAUGGCAGCAAUCAGAGGGAGCUCUGCAUUCAGAAGCAGGCAGCCAACAUAGCUACCUCUCUUGGGCUAAUCUGAAUUAAUUGGUGCUAUUUGUGCCUUUGAUACCCAAAUGUAGACCCCGGGGGUGGGAGUUCUCAUGAAACAAGUGGCCACUUGGGAGAGCCGUCCCAGGUCCAAUCAUGUCAUGGGCUCAUUCAUCUCCCACAGUAAUUCACUACUCACUUCAGUCACUCUAAAUGUAAAACAGCUGCUGCUGCUUUAGCCCUCUUUUAAGGUACCCACCAACAGCUUUAAACCAAUCCUGAAUGGGUCCCAUCCCAUAAUAGUCUCCCACACAGUGGUCAUUUGGAAACAAUUAACCCUUGAUUCAAGAUACUCUUAAAGAAUCCUUUUGCAAGAACCCCUUUUCUCUGCUGCAGCCUGUUGUGACGCCUCUCCCCUUGGAUGAGAACAGCUUUAUCCUUUAGAAGCAGUUCUGUGUAUGUAGCGCCUGGGCAGGGAGGGCACAGGGUUUGUAUAUGGAUAUGUAUAUGGAGCUGCCAGGUUAUUGUAUGGGUUUUGCCCCCUCCUUGUCCAUCCUCACCAAAGAAAUCUGCUC
rnacentral:lncRNA from 7 species